GGCCCUCUGGCGCAAUGGUAGCGCGUUCGACUCCAGCAGUUUGUUAAAGUCAUCGAAAGGUUAUCCGUUCAAAUCGGGUGGGGGUCA